CAGCCGCCACGGUAAUACGAAGGGUGCAAGCGUUAAUCGGAAUUACUGGGCGUAAAGCGUGCGUAGGCGGUUUGUUAAGUCUGUUGUGAAAUCCCCGGGCUCAACCUGGGAAUGGCAAUGGAUACUGGCAAGCUAGAGUGUGUCAGAGGAUGGUGGAAUUCCCGGUGUAGCGGUGAAAUGCGUAGAUAUGCGGAGGAACACCGAUGGCGAAGGCAGCCCCCUGGGCCAACACUGACGCUCAUGCGCGAAAGCGUGGGGAGCAAGUAGGAUUAGAUACCCCGGUAGUCCCUGUCUCUUAUAC
rnacentral:rRNA from 1 species